rnacentral:rRNA from 1 species
GACGAACGCUGGCGGCGUGCUUAACACAUGCAAGUCGAACGAUGAAGCCCAGCUUGCUGGGUGGAUUAGUGGCGAACGGGUGAGUAACACGUGAGUAACCUGCCCUUGACUCUGGGAUAAGCGUUGGAAACGACGUCUAAUACCGGAUACGAGCUUCCACCGCAUGGUGAGUUGCUGGAAAGAAUUUUGGUCAAGGAUGGACUCGCGGCCUAUCAGCUUGUUGGUGAGGUAAUGGCUCACCAAGGCGACGACGGGUAGCCGGCCUGAGAGGGUGACCGGCCACACUGGGACUGAGACACGGCCCAGACUCCUACGGGAGGCAGCAGUGGGGAAUAUUGCACAAUGGGCGAAAGCCUGAUGCAGCAACGCCGCGUGAGGGACGACGGCCUUCGGGUUGUAAACCUCUUUUAGCAGGGAAGAAGCGAAAGUGACGGUACCUGCAGA